rnacentral:tRNA from 1 species
GCCCCGUUGGUGUAGCCCGGUCAAGCAUUAAGCCCUUUCGAGGCUUAGACCCGAGUUCGAAUCUCGGACGGGGCA